AGCUUUGUGUAGUGGCAGUAUCGUAGUCAAUGAGGUUUAUCCAAGGCGCGAUUGUUGCUAAUUGAAAGAAAAAAAUAGCUAAACAUUUUAGCUUUGAUUUUUCUGAAAGGAAAAAUAUGCCUAUUUUCUUCACAAUUUGGAGAUU
rnacentral:snRNA from 1 species